CAUGGGGUGAAAAUCCCACCAGGUGACUGUCGUUCCAGCCGGUAGCAGUCAAAGCAGUCGUGUGGGUAACAAAGCGGCUGAUGUAUUUGGUGAAGAAGCUGUAGGUGUUUCAGUGAGUAUACAGGUCAUAAUGUGA
rfam:Shigella sp. D9 cont1.30, whole genome shotgun sequence.